UACGUAGGCAGCAAGCGUUGUUCGGAAUUACUGGGCGUAAAGAGUGUGUAGGCGGUGUUCUAAGUUUGUCGUGAAAUCUCCCGGCUUAACUGGGAGGGUGCGGCGAAAACUGGAAUGCUAGAGGAUGGGAGAGGUAAGCGGAAUUCCUGGUGUAGCGGUGAAAUGCGUAGAUAUCAGGAGGAACACCUGUGGUGUAGACAGCUUACUGGACCAUUCUGACGCUGAGACACGAAGCGU
rnacentral:rRNA from 1 species